rnacentral:rRNA from 2 species
GACGAACCGUGCAAACGUUGUUCGGAAUCACUGGGCUUAAAGGGCGCGUAGGCGGUCGACCAAGUCCGGGGUGAAAUCUUUCGGCUUAACCGGAAAAGUGCCUUGGAUACUGGUCGGCUGGAGGGAGGUAGGGGCAGGUGGAACUUCCAGUGGAGCGGUGAAAUGCGUUGAUAUUGGAAGGAACGCCGGUGGCGAAAGCGACCUGCUGGACCUCUUCUGACGCUGAGGCGCGAAAGCUAGGGGAGCAAACGGG